rnacentral:lncRNA from 1 species
AUUGCAUUGUUUGAUAUCUCAACUGUGAAGCAAAGGAGCAAUGCAGAAAUAAAUGAUCUCUAAUUUCCAAUUCUUGCUGGCACAUAACACACACUCCGGAGAUGUUCAGCUUCCAGUGUAACAACCUGUUUUUGGUGGGAAGUCGAUCCUGCAAUAGCACCCAUAAGCUGAAGAUAGCUUUAGGUCUAGCUGCAUUUUGCAUUACCAUAUUCUUCCAUGAAAC